UCCUGGCAGUUCUUCAGAUAAUCAGAUUUGUCCAUGAGGUUUCAACUGUUGCAUUCCAUUGUUGAGUUUUAUUCUGUUUGCGUUUCUGUUUGUUUUUGUCAUGGAUCUGGCUGAUUGGAGGCUGUGAUGACCAAAAAAUACCUACCUAUUUUCUGAGGGAUUCCAGUCCUUCUGAUUGAUAGAAACCAAUGGAUCCUUCUGAGCCUGCCAAGAUCUUCAGAUUCUUAGUUUUGUAUUCGGCUUUUUCGAUUUGUCUUCGUAUAUUGCAUUCUUCUAAAAGCAAGCAAGAUUCGUAACAGUUGAUGGGAUGAUAACCUUUCACAGAAACUGUAUGUGUUGACCCAAAAUUCAGACUACAAUUAUCUGAUCAACUCAGACAU
rnacentral:pre_miRNA from 1 species